ACUUCCGGCCGCGCGCCUGGGUUGAAUCCCGCUGCGGCGAGCCAAGAGGUUCUAGGUCUAUGAAAGCCAUGGCCGGUCGCGGGAAGGCGGGAUCCCUGCGGUCUUCCCCCGUUUUAACUAUUGCUUGUUGGAAAGUGAUGGAGGAAGGCAGGAAGAAGUCGGCCGAAAAGGGGUGCUCAUACUUCUGCAGUUUGGAUGGGGCAACUGCUGUCUCAGCUGGACUGGACCUGAGGGUCCCUUGAUCUAGGCUGGGCUCAGCUGGUUGGUUUUGUUAGGGGAAGCACACUGAUUGAAACUGCCCACCCUGCCAAGGCACCAUAGUAACAAUUUGCAUGAGUUGUUUUAGGACAGGAGGUCUUGCUAAGGAACACUGAACUAAUAAGCUGCCACCACCAAGAAAAGUUCGGGAAAGGUGGAAAGGAGAUACCACAUGUCCAACUGAAGGAGGAAACAGACAGAGCUGGACUCCAUCUUAGGCCAGGCUGAGAACAUUAGGCUACACUCAAGGUCACCCUCCCAGUGGACUCUGAACUUUGUGCCCGGUGUCUAUAGAAAUGGCAUACCAAUGGAAAACCAGACCCCUGGAUGAAAGAGCCUCAGGACUUCUACUUGGACUCUCCGUUGCCUAAAAGAAUAUGCUAAUUAUCUCCGUAAGAGAACAAACUAACAGCUCCACUAAAACCACCAAUGCAGUGGUGCUGCUCGGACUGCACUGGGGCAAAGCCUUUGGGCAGAGUCAAGAGAUGGAAAAGGAAAAAGAGAAAAACGGAGACUUUCACACUGUGGCCUGCUGGGGCCCCCUUUACUGCUUCUCUAGCCAAAAUGAACUGUCUCUUGGGAGUUUUUGCUUUCCAUGCCCAUUGCAUUGUUCUGUGACCCAGUCUGCCUCGGAUAAAAGAGAGAAAAAUCAGGAAACUCAUCAUCAAUAUUGUUCAUUUUUCAAGUUUGGACUUCCUUCUUCAACCACUCAGUCAAAAUGGUUUAAUUUUCAACAGUCUUCGUUGAAAAUGCAGCUGCCGUCUGCAUUUUAUCCAAAGCUUUGUAUUUUGUAAUUGUUGAAGAAAUAGGCUGCUGUGGGCUUAUUCCAUCUUGGCCAGCACCAGAAAUUCAUGUGUUCUUUAGUAAAUUUAUUUUUGUGUUUGUGAGAUGAAGUUUCCUCUAUAAUGUACAAUACAUUACAGAGUAAUACUAAUAGGACUUACCCUAUUUUAACUAUUUGUUCGUAUGUCAGUCAGUGUCUGAUCCUGCAUCCCUGGUACAGUGCUUGGCAUGUGGAUGAUGUUCGUUAAACUGACAUUGAGCAAUAGAACAUGACACACAGAGGCUUCACAGAGAAUCUAAAAGGAAGCUGGGCUUUUAAAACCAAAAGCAACUGAGUGUCUGCUUUUAGGUAUCUGUUCUAGUGGCACAUACUAGAUUGUUAAGGUAACUAACCCAAGCAUUGCUUGCAAGCUAAGUCACUUCAGUUGUGUCCAACUCUUUGCAUCCCCAUGGACUGUAGCCCACCAGGCUCCUCUGUCCAUGGGGAUUUUCCUGGCAAGAGUACUGGAGUG